GGAAGAGGGUCUGUGGCUCAGUGGUAGAGCAUCUGCUCAGCAAGCAGAAGGUCCCAGGUUCAACCCCUGGCUUCUCCA